GCAUUGGUUGUUCAAUGGUAGAAUUCUCGCCUGCCAUGCCUGUGGCCCAGGUUUCAUUCCCGUCUAAUGCA
rnacentral:tRNA from 1 species